UAACACGUGCGCGAGUCAGUGGGCUUUGUCGAAACCUACAGGCGAAAGUGAAAGCAAAAGCGGGUUGAGAUUUAUCUCUUCCUGUGACGGAGGAUCUCACAAGAUAGGGCUGGAAAUGCCUGCAUAGUGGGCGCACUCCGGGGGCGUCCCUGCCCUGGGAAUUGCUCCUCUGCCUGUUUUGCUGCUUACUAGGAGAGCUGUUGGGAGAAUGUGGGUGUUCUGCAUCCCUUUCUUGUUGAUUGUCUUUUCCAUGGUAAUGUGGCGGAGUGGUGCAUGGGCAGCCCUUGUUGGUGGGGGCGCACCAAGAGCGUAUGCGUUGGGACCCGAAAGAUGGUGAACUAUGCCUGGCCAGGAUGAAGCCAGAGGAAACUCUGGUGGAGGUCCGUAGCGAUUCUGACGUGCAAAUCGAUCGUCUGAGCUGGGUAUAGGGGCGAAAGACUAAUCGAACCAUCUAGUAGCUGGUUCCCUCCGAAGUUUCCCUCAGGAUAGCUGGUGCUCGAAAUCAUGGAAAGGUAAUGGAGACGCGAGUCCCAUCCGGUAAAGCGAAUGAUUAGAGGUCUUGGGGCCGAAAUGACCUCAACCUAUUCUCAAACUUUAAAUGGGUGGGACACCUGGCUUGCUUGACUGAAGCCCAGGGUCCCCUGUCUGAUCCAGGUGCAAGCCCAGUGGGCCACUCUUGGUAAGCAGGACUGGCGCUGUGGGAUGAACCAAACGUCAGGUUAUGGUGCCAAAGUUGAUGCCGAUCAGAAACCAGGAAAGGCGUUGGUUGCUAAAGACAGCAGGACGGUGGCCAUGGAAGUCGGCAGCCGCUAAGGAGUGUGUAACAACUCACCUGCCGAAGCAACUAGCUCUGAAAAUGGAUGGCGCUUG
rnacentral:rRNA from 1 species